rnacentral:rRNA from 1 species
UACGUAGGGGGCUAGCGUUGUCCGGAUUUAUUGGGCGUAAAGAGCGUGUAGGCGGCCAGGUAGGUCUGCUGUGAAAACUCGAGGCUCAACCUCGAGAUGUCGGCGGAAACCAUCUGGCUAGAGUCCGGAAGAGGGGAGUGGAAUUCCUGGUGUAGCGGUGAAAUUCGUAGAUAUUCGCAAGAACACCAGUGGCGAAGGCGGCUCACUGGCCCGGUACUGACGCUGAGGUGCGAAAGCGUGGGGAGCAAACAGG